CAUAAUACAGGCCAUAUAUGCUAAACCCACAGCUUACAUCAUACUCAAUGGUGAAAAGCUGAAAACAUUUCCUCUAAGAUCAGGAACAAGACAAGGUGUCCACUCUCAUCACUUUCAUUCGACAUAGUUUUGGAAGUCCUAGCCAUGGCAAUCAGAGAAGAAAAAGAAAUAAAAUGAAUCCCAAUUGGAAAACAAGAAGUAAAACUGUCACUGUUUGCAGAUGACAUGAUACUAUACAUAGAAGAUCAUAAAGAUGCUAAGGGCGUUCUGGAGCAGGGCAGAUGGACUACGGGAAGCAGCAGGCGGAGGGCAGCAGUAGGAAACUCGGGGAUCUGGGUGCAAAAGCCCAGGGAUAGGAGCCGCAGGCAUGCUGCAUCCCAAGGCUUUGACCCAGGUGCUAAGCCAGGCAACAAUGGAGGCAUCCAGAGCACCCUGCUGCUGAAUAACGAGGGAUCUCUGUUGGCCUACUCCAGUUACGGGGAUAUGGACGCCCGGGUCACCGCUGCCAUCGCCAGUAACAUCUGGGUGGCCUACGACCAGAACGGGAACCAAGCAUUUAAUGAAGACAAUCUCAAAUUCAUCCUCAUGGACUGCAUGGAGGGCCAUGUAGCCAUCACUCGAGUGGCCAACUUUCUACUGUGCAUGUAUGCCAAGGAGACUGUUGGCUUCAGAAUGCUCAAGGCCAAGGCCCAGGCCUUGGUGCAGUACCUGGAGGAGCCUCUCACCCAAGUAGCAUCAUCAUAAUGGGUGCUGGUGGAAGCAGGGGUUCAGAAAAGAGAGAUGACCAUUUGGAGGGGCAGGGCCCCCUGGAUAUGCCUUCCUGGAUGUGGAAGGUUGGGGGGACUUUGUUCUUCCCAAGAAUCAACUUCAACUCCUGUCUU